rnacentral:tRNA from 1 species
GGCCCCGCGGACCGGGCCGGUUCCGGGCCGAUUCCGGUUCGGUCCGGUUCGGUUCCGGGCCGGACAGGGCGAC